CUGCUCUUUUGGGGCAUUUAUAUACCAGGUUUUGUGCCUCUUCUUCCGUGGUGUCAAGGUCAAAGGCGUGAGCRCAGGACGCCGGUGCUUGGACAUUGCCGGAGCGAGUGACCAUCCUGCGUGUGGGACUCAUGGAGCAGCUGGGAGAGCCAGGGCUGACGCGCACAGGGCAGAGUCCCUGGUCGCUGGAGCCGGAGCGGGUGUCCUCCCCGCCGAAGGGGCGAUGCGGAGCUCUGCAAUCCUCCCUGCAGAAGCAGAGGAGGCYGCUGGUGAGCAGGAGGAAGAUCAGCCACGCGCGAGUGAAAGGGAAAGGGCUGCAACCCUUUGGUUUGUUAUCCUGGAGAAACACGCUCCAUCUCUUUCCUCUGUGUUCCCUAGAGCUUGUGCUUGCUUCCGGAUG
rnacentral:lncRNA from 1 species